GUUUUCUUCAAGCGAGAAUGGAAGAAGAAUUGGCCAUUCGUCGUUGGAUUCGCAAUCACCGGAACUAUAAUCACCAAGUUCUCUCUCGGUCUUACUGAGGAGGACGCUAAGAAUUCGAAAUUCGUUCAGCAUCACAAGAGGUGAUUUAUGAAUGUGGACAUUGCACCGGCUUUGCACCUCAUGAUAGGUGUGUCGAUGUUACUUUCAUUCUCUUGAUUUUUUGGAUUGUAAUAACAAAAGAGAUAUAUUUUGUAUACUCUCCUAUCACCAUCUUCUUAUUUCCAGUUUUGGUGUUUACUUAAUGUGCUUGUAAAAAAUCCAGACUAAGCAAUUAUUGAGUUUUGUUAUUGUGAUUGUUA